GAUCCUGCUGCCCUGGCUGCAGCUCAAAGGAAGAGCUCCACGCAAAUGGGAAGGAAGAAGGGAGUGGUGAAUUCGGGAAGAGCUUUGUUCCACCCAUGCAGGCAAUUGGCACAGAUGGGUCUACAGGGGGUUAACCAAAGGCCCAUGAAGAAACCUGCCAGCUCUGUUCAUCAUAGCCCCGAAGGAAAUUAAAUGCCUUGUACCAUAUGGUGCACAGCAUGGGGGUGGCUCUGGGGCAGCAUCCAUCCCAGUGCGUGGGGCAGGUGCAAGCCGGGGGCUUCCAACCCCAGCAAUAUCCACUUUCUGCCCAGUAUAAAGCACGGUGAUGGGGAAGCAGGGGGAAGGCUGACACAUGUGCAGCCUAACCCACUGGCAGAGCAGUGGGGAGGCAGAACCAAUGGCUGCUUCUCAUGCUCAAUGAGUCCGUCCACCUCCCCCCCGCAUCGAGUCCUUAAGUUGCUGCUUUUAACUGUCUCCGUGUUCAAAGCAAAUGUGAUGCUCAGCGGGAACAGAAGGCAGCUCCUGCUGGCAGGUGGAAGGCAUGGACAGCAUGGAUUGAGAUCCAGGCAGGGCCGGCUGCUGAGAGAGCAGGGGGAAUAUGGAAAUCCGGCUCCGUCGAAAUGAUUCAUCCCCUUCCCACCCCUCCCAUACAGUCCCCGCCGUUCUCUCCCUCCCGCUGGGUGCCGUCGUGUCUCUGUCUGUGUGUUGGUGUCCCGGUGCUACUCGUGGGGCAUUGCGAUUUUGGCUGCUGUCGGGCGCUGAGCUGGGAUCUCCCCGGUCCCAUUGGGUGCUCCAGGUGAUGCCCCAGUUCACUUUCGCUUGCUUCUGUGGGCUGCAUGGCUUCUGCAAGAUGAAGAGGAAGAAGGAGGAAACCUGCACAGAGCAGGAGACGGCGGUGUGAGCAGCAGGGACAGGAGUGGGACAUCAGAGCUGCUGGGGGGCAUUGGCUGUCCCCUCCCCUGUCACCUCUGCAGGGAUCCCUGUGCUGUGGAGACAUCUGCCUGGCCAGGAGGGAGCUGAAGCAUGAGAAUGUCCAAACUUGGAGGCACCAGUCGGCGUUGCAGACAUUAUUGGGGUGCUACAGCCAUCCUGCCACAUGCACUGAGCCCUCUGCACCCCAACAGCAGGGGACAUAGUGGUGGUGGUAUUUGUGCAGGGCAUCUCAGCAAGAGCUGGUUCAUUAUUGACACAAAGGCCAACAGUCCCCAGCUCAAGUCUUUAGGGGUUCUCUGCAGGGACAUUUUUGGCACAACUGUGUCUUCCAGAGCAGAAAUCCUUGAACUCUUCCACCUGCUGUUUCCCUUCUCUAUAUGGAGAAUCCAAUCAUGGGGGGCUGAAAGUGAUACCCACGGGUGCCAGGUAGGAAAUGCUCACCCUGAGGGCUGCUCCUGCUCCCACUGUCUUCACCUGGCACUGUGUGGCUGUUCCUGAGGUCCCCUGGGUCCCCAUUUCCCCUCCACUCUCUCUGUGCAUCCUUCCUACCUAUGGUUAAAGCCAUACAGGAGCUCCCCAUAUUCUGUGCCUUUCGGGGGGUGUCCCAUAGAUGUCCUCCCCAGUCAAGGGGGGGGUUCCCACAGAUGUGGGGACAUUGCUGGGGUCUCAGUGUUGUGCUCACAUCCCUGACCCCAUUUGCACCCAAACUUUAAGAUCUCCUUUCAGGCACUGAAGCCUUGGUGCUGCCAUGACCAGGAAUUGAGAAAAGCAGGAGGGAUGACCCAUAGGGAAGGGCAAAUACUUGGACAGCAAGUCUCUGGAGCAGGGGCCAUAGACUAGAGCAGCCUGACACCCCCUUGGAGCUCUGAAGGAGGAGGGUGAGCACACUUGGAGAGCAAUUCCAACCUCCCCAUUGUUAACCAGUUCCACCUUCCCAGUGCUCUCUGACUGCAUUUGCACAUGACAAACAGAGCUGUAGCCACCAGUGACAGCUCUCCUUUGGAGAUAUGUUGGCUCAGGCAACACCCAGAUCUAAUACAGCCGGUAAUUUAUUUUCUCAUCUGAAAGAUUUAGGACAAAAAGCAGCCAGAAGUGCCAAGAACAGAAGGUGCAGCUGAGGAGCUCUAAAUCCUCUCUGCUCUAUGCCUGUGGUCUGGGCUGCGGUGGGAAGCAGCGGAUGGAUGUGGGCUAUGGGAUGGCAGCAAUGCCUGGUCCUUGUGCACCUACCCCAUGGGGGUAUUUUGCUUCUCCCUUCUCUGAGCUCAGGUGAUGUGAACUGGCUGGUGCCCUGCUGGGUGUUUCCCUGCUGUUUGGGCAGCAUAUUGGCCAGGUUUCCCUGUCCUUCAUCACUGUGGAGCUCAGCUGAUUUCAGCACAGAUCAGUGGGAAAUGCUGUGGUUAAUGCAGGCUGUAAUGUGUCCUCUGGGAGCUUUGAGGCUGCAGCAGCCUUUUACUUUACAGUGCACACAGAGGCACCCAGGGAAGCUGAAGCCACCGAGCUUAAUGCUGAUGCACCCACGUUUGGGCUCAGCUGUUCGUGCCCCACCUGGGGGCACACAAUUGGUUUCCCCUAGUGAAGAUGUGGGGUGAUAACCCCACUCAGGGCUGUUGUAGCAGCAGGGUGAGAUACAGAGAGAUGAUGGGCAGCUUUGCUCAGUCAGGCUUUACAGAGGCUCAGAUAUUGCUGUGGAUUGAGGAUGGGGGAGGAGGGGGGAAGAUGGCCCAGUUCAUUAGUGCAUAACCCUCCCUGCUAAACCUCUUUGACUGCAGAUCCAUCACAGUUUGGCAGCAAAGGAUGUGCAGCUAACAGCUGCUCCGAGGCUCUGUGUCAAGCUGGAUGCACAGAGAGCAGCCCUGCAAAAGUGUUUGUGUAUGGAGGGGGUGCUAUGGGGGCUCCUGGGUGCUAAGAGAUGAGCUGAGGGCUCUGCUGGAAACACUGCACUCAUGCUAUGCACUUACUGCAUAUGAUGCACGCCCAUGCACACGGUGCACACACUAUGCACACACUACUCAUGCCAUGCACACCACGGUUGCACACUGGCAGCUCUGUGCUUGCUCAGGCUGUCCCUGUAUCUCCAGUCCUAUCUCCUACAAUGAAUGUAGGAUGUAGAAGCAAGACAGGCAGAUGCUCACCCGCACCCAUUACAUGUGCAUGUGAAAACACAAUAAAUUAACCAGGUGCAGCCUGAAUGCUCAAAAACCCGAGCUACAGUUAUUUUUCAAGUGAACUUUCCACCUCCCUGCAUGGAUGGAGCUCUCAGAGCAAAACAAUAUGUUUUCCACCAUGGCUCCGAGCAAAAUGGUUUGCUCCUGCAUUGACCUCUAUUGUGCUCAUAAACGGCUCGUGGUGCUUUUUGAUUCCCCCAUCAUCACGCCUUGACCUCCAGAUUGAUGCUGAAGGUCCUUUCAGCUGCAUAUUGUUUCCCACCUCUCUCUGUAGCCAACCUGCCAGGUUGCUGCACACCUCCCAAAGCAAAGUUGUGGGGCUUUUUCUUUCUCCCCUCCUCUUUAUUUUUCCCUCCCCACUGGCAGCGUUUUAACAAGGCUGGGAUGCUUCUAAGACUGUGAGGGCUGGGAGCUGACAGCUCUUGUCAGUGGAGAAACGCUUUCCCUGCCUCUCUUUCUCUCUCUCCCCCACAUUUUGCACAACCCCAGGCCUUUUUAUAAGCUGGGAUUUUGCUUCUUGUUCAGGAUUUCCUCUUGCUCUCCCAAGUGACAGACACACACACACGCUGCUUUUGCUUCUCCCUUCCAAUAAUGCCUGCACCACAAUAGCUACAUCCUACCCACAUUGGAGGCAGUGCACACUCAGGGUGUCCCUCCAAUGCUUCCCAAGCACUUUCUUUCCCAUCUGAUCCUGAAGCUGAGGCUGCCAAAUCCCCCAUGCAUUGGCUGCUGAGUGUUGAGCAGCUCCCAGUCACCUUCAUGCAAAGGGUGUGAAGUGCAAGGUGUAAAUAGUGCUUUCCAUUGCACAUUGCCUCUUGUGCACCACUGGGCUCUGUGCACAUUGCAUGACAUCCAUGCUGUGGCUUUGCAGGCUUAUUCCUUUUUAUUCUUUUCACUGUUGUUCCUUCAGAAGAGAAGAGCAGCACUCCUGAAAAAUGCAUUUCUUCCCACCAGCAAUAAUCCUCCUUUAAUCCUAUUACACCAAGGAAAGCAUCCAAGAGGGGGUGGGUGCAGGAGGAGGGUCCCCAUUGCACUCAGACAUUGGGGAUGGACGGACCAUAGCUCAGCCCCUUCCAAUGAACCCAAACAGUGCUUCCAUGGCACCUCCUGGUGCAGAGAGGUGUAAAAGCCGCAGCUUCAAGUCUUGUAACACAUUCUUAAAGGUUUUAUGAGAGAGGGGGGAAAAGAGUAGAGAGAAAACCCCAUUCCUGAGUGCAUCUUUGUGGUGUUUUAUGUCAGAUCCUAUACAAUUCCAUGACUCCCACCCCCUAAUAAACCUGCACUGAUCGCUGCAGUUACUGCACUCACAUGGAUGCACAGAGCUCUGUGGUGUCUAUGGAGGAUCAAAGCAUUCAACCUCUUUUUAUUGUCCUUCCCUUUCAUCCCACUGCCUGGAUUUCAUCACGAAGGGACCUACCCAGACUUGUUCCUCAGGAGUCUCCCAGCCUCAGUAGCCAUAGAAACCAGCUAUUUUUAGUCUGUUUUCGUGAUGCCACUCAAUGACUUUUCUCGACUUUGGGGAGACAGGAGACCAGGUCAGCCCUGUGAAUGGCAAAUGCAAAGCUGUGCAUCCCUUUGAGAAGAUAAACGUGGCAUUUGCAAACAAAAGCACCUAUCAACGCACAGAGCAGGUCCGUUCUUAAUGUAUUUCCUAUCUGGACAAAUUAUUUAUGCACAUUUCUAGAGUAUGGAUUUUAUCAACCUUUGGAGAUCAGGGUUUUUGCUAUAUGACAAACCUUGUACUUCCCAGAGCUGGUUUUCAGCCCUCUUCAUAUAAAUGAACAGAGUUUUGGAA